rnacentral:rRNA from 1 species
GUGGGGAAUAUUGGACAAUGGGCGAAAGCCUGAUCCAGCCAUGCCGCGUGUGUGAAGAAGGUCUUCGGAUUGUAAAGCACUUUAAGUUGGGAGGAAGGGUAGUAACCUAAUACGUUGCUACUUUGACGUUACCGACAGAAUAAGCACCGGCUAACUCCGUGCCAGCAGCCGCGGUAAUACGGAGGGUGCAAGCGUUAUCCGGAUUUAUUGGGUUUAAAGGGUCCGUAGGCGGAUCGUUAAGUCAGUGGUGAAAUCCUACCGCUCAACGGUAGAACUGCCAUUGAUACUGGCGAUCUUGAGUAUGUAUGAAGUUGGCGGAAUGUGUGGUGUAGCGGUGAAAUGCUUAGAUAUCACACAGAACACCGAUUGCGAAGGCAGCUGACUAAUACACAACUGACGCUGAGGGACGAAAGUGUGGGGAUCAAACAGGAUUAGAUACCCUUGUAGUCC